rnacentral:rRNA from 1 species
AACGAACGCUGGCGGCAUGCCUAACACAUGCAAGUCGAACGAGACCUUCGGGUCUAGUGGCGCACGGGUGCGUAACGCGUGGGAAUCUACCCUCAGGUUCGGAAUAACUCAGAGAAAUUUGAGCUAAUACCGGAUGAUGACGUAAGUCCAAAGAUUUAUCGCCUGAGGAUGAGCCCGCGUAGGAUUAGGUAGUUGGUGAGGUAAAGGCUCACCAAGCCGACGAUCCUUAGCUGGUCUGAGAGGAUGAUCAGCCACACUGGGACUGAGACACGGCCCAGACUCCCACGGGAGGCAGCGGGGGGGAAUAUUGGAAAAGGGGCGAAAGCUUGAUCCAGCAGUGCCGGGUGGGUGAUGAGGGCCUGGGGGUUGUAAAGCUCUUUUCCCCGGAAUAAAAAUAACAUUACGGGGAGAAUAAGCCCGGGCAAACUCCGUG